rnacentral:rRNA from 1 species
GUGAUAGGGUACUUUUUGUAGAACGGUCCGGCGAGCGAUUGUAUGCAGCAAGGUUAAGGACUUAAGGUCUGGAGCCGAAGCGAAAGCGAGUUUGAAAAGGGCGUUAAGUUGCAUAUAAUGGGCCCGAAACCGGGUGACCUACCCAUGGUCAGGUUGAAGUGGAAGUAAAAUUCCAUGGAGGACCGAACCGACCUCCGUUGAAAAGGCGGCGGAUGAACUGUGGGUAGCGGAGAAAUUCCAAUCGAACCCGGAGAUAGCUGGUUCUCCCCGAAAUAGUUUUAGGACUAGCCUCAAGUUAGAUACCUGGAGGUAAAGCACUGAAUAGCCUAGCGGCCGAGAGGUUAGCGAAGCUUAUCAAACUCAGAAUGCCAGAGUAUUGAUGCUUGGGAGUCAGACAGUGUCAGAUAAAUGUCAUUGUCAAAAGGGAAACAGCCCAGAUCUACAGCUAAGGUCCCAAAGUCAGGUUAAGUGGAAAACGAUGUGAAGAUACGUAGACAACCAGGAUGUUGGCUCAGAAGCAGCCACACAUUCAAAGAGUGCGUAAUAGCUCACUGGUCGAGCGUCUUUGCGCGGAGAAUUUAACGGGGCUAAACCUGACACCGAAGCUUAGGCAAUACAGCAAUGUAUUGGGUAGGGGAGCGUUGUAUACGCGGUGAAACAGUAGCGCAAGCGGCUGUGGAGUGUAUAGAAGUGAGAAUGCCGGAAUGAGUAGCGCGAAUGCAGUGAGAAUCUGCAUGGCCGAAAGCCUCAGGUUUCUGGAGGAAGGUUCGUCCGCUCCAGGUUAGUCGGGAGCUAAGGUGAGGCCUAACGGCGUAGCCGAUGCACAGACGGUAGAGAUUCCGUCACCACCAAAAGAGUUAAACACAGGGACACAUAUGAAGUCUCGGAGCCGGGUGUUGGUUCCGGUAGCGAUCGAGGGAAGUUAGUACCGAAGUCCGGGAUGGAAGAUGGCGAGAAAAGCUGUGUGUAUUUCUGCGGUGCCCGUACCGCAAACCGACACAGGUAGGUAGGAAGAAGAUUCUAAGGCCAACGGGAGAAGGGUUGUUAAGGAACUCGGCAAAUUGACCCCGUAACUUCGGGAGAAGGGGUGCUCCAGAGAUGGAGCCGCAGAGAAUCGGCCCAAGCAACUGUUUACCAAAAACACAGGUUUGUGCUAAAUCGAAAGAUGACGUAUACGAGCUGACGCCUGCCCGGUGCUGGAAGGUUAAGAGGAGAUGUGCAAGCAUUGAAUCGAAGCCCCAGUGAACGGCGGCCGUAACUAUAACGGUCCUAAGGUAGCGAAAUUCCUUGUCAGGUAAG